rnacentral:piRNA from 1 species
CCAGGGAGACCUGGAGUUCAGAAUGG